rnacentral:rRNA from 1 species
AUUCCAGCUCCAAUAGCGUAUAUUAAAGUUGUUGCAGUUAGAACGCUCGUAGUCGGAUUUCGGGGCGGGGCGACCGGUCUGCCGAUGGGUACGCACUGGUCGGCGCGUCCUUCCUUCCGGAGACCGUGCCUACUCUUAACUGAGCGGGGGCGGGAGACGGAACGUUUACUUUGAAAAAAUCAGAGUGUUUCAAGCAGGCAGCUCGCUCUUGCAUGGAUUAGCAUGGGAUAAUGAAAUAGGACUUUGGUGCUAUUUUGUUGGUUUCGAACACCGAAGUAAUGAUGAGAAGGGACAGUCAGGGGCAUUUGCAUUCGACCGAGAGAGGUGAAAUUCUCAGACCAGUCGAAGACAAACUACUGCGAAAGCAUCUGCCAGGGAUGUUUUCAUCG